rnacentral:lncRNA from 1 species
CUUAAUCUUUCUCUUGGGUGACUUUACUACCUUCGAAGGUCUGCUAUCCCUACAAGAUGCAUUACUAAGCACUUGAGGCAAAAGGACAUGCAUUAGCUAGAAGAUGAGGUGGAGAAGUAUAAUAUUAUCAGCUAAUUGAGCUGGUCUAGAGGAUAUCUAGAAGUCAAUUAAAGAUGUCCCCAAGCUGUAGUUAAGGUAAACUAAAAUAUGCUUGAAAUUGUAAAUUCUUGCUCUCAAUUCAUUGCAGAAAGAGGUUGUUACUCCCUUGAAAAAGGAGAACAAUGAGUUAUUGGGUUUGCCUAAAUAUUUCUCUUGGGUGACUUUACUACCUUCGAAGGUCUCUGAUAUUAUUUCAAGCUUAUUUCUUGUAUACUGCAUCCCGAAAGAUUGAGCGCUGCAUUACCACUUUGGAGUACAAUGGAAGCAGUAGCAUGCUGCAGGUACUAUUAUUUUCUUUUUGAGAAGCGGCCGAGCUGGAACAAAGAUAAAGAUGCAUUGAACAAGCUUGUUCACAUCCGAAAUUCUACACAAAUCCAAGUGAGAGGAUUCAGAAAUCUAGAGCACACAAGCAAUUCAGUCUUGCCACUAAACCAAAAGAAAUGAAUCCUAUCAUGUCUUGCCCGUUAUCUCGCUUU